CUGGCGGCGUGCCUAAUACAUGCAAGUAGAACGCACAGUUUAUACCGUAGCUUGCUACACCAUAGACUGUGAGUUGCGAACGGGUGAGUAACGCGUAGGUAACCUGCCUGGUAGCGGGGGAUAACUAUUGGAAACGAUAGCUAAUACCGCAUAAUAUUAAUUAUUGCAUGAUAAUUGAUUAAAAGGUGCAAUUGCACCACUACCAGAUGGACCUGCGUUGUAUUAGCUAGUAGGUGAGGUAACGGCUCACCUAGGCGACGAUACAUAGCCGACCUGAGAGGGUGAUCGGCCACACUGGGACUGAGACACGGCCCAGACUCCUACGGGAGGCAGCAGUAGGGAAUCUUCGGCAAUGGACGAAAGUCUGACCGAGCAACGCCGCGUGAGUGAAGAAGGUUUUCGGAUCGUAAAGCUCUGUUGUAAGAGAAGAACGGGUGUGAGAGUGGAAAGUUCACACUGUGACGGUAUCUUACCAGAAAGGGACGGCUAACUACGUGCCAGCAGCCGCGGU
rnacentral:rRNA from 1 species